UACAGAGGGUGCGAGCGUUAAUCGGAAUUACUGGGCGUAAAGCGCGCGUAGGCGGCUUUGCAAGUCGGGUGUGAAAUCCCCAGGCUUAACUUGGGAACUGCAUUCGAGACUGCAUUGCUAGAGUAUGGGAGAGGGAAGUGGAAUUUCCGGUGUAGCGGUGAAAUGCGUAGAUAUCGGAAGGAACAUCAGUGGCGAAAGCGACUUCCUGGACCAAUACUGACGCUCAUGUGC
rnacentral:rRNA from 1 species